rnacentral:rRNA from 1 species
AACUGUGAGACAGGUGCUGCAUGGCUGUCGUCAGCUCGUGCUGUGAAGUGUCGGGUUAAGUCCCUUAACGAGCGCAACCCCUAUCGUUAGUUACUAACGCGUUAUGGCGAGGACUCUAGCGAGACUGCCGGUGUCAAACCGGAGGAAGGUGGGGAUGACGUCAAGUCCUCAUGGCCCUUAUGGGCUGGGCUACACACGUGCUACAAUGGCGGUGACAGAGGGCAGCCACUCCGCGAGGAGGAGCUAAUCCCUAAAAGCCGUCUCAGUUCGGAUUGUACUCUGCAACUCGAGUACAUGAAGUUGGAAUCGCUAGUAAUCGCAGAUCAGCAUGCUGCGGUGAAUACGUUCCCGGGCCUUGUACACACCGCCCGUCACACCAUGGGAGUGGGUUGCUCCAGAAGUAGAUAGUCUAACCCUCGGGAGGACGUUUACCACGGAGUGAUUCAUGACUGGGGUGAAGUCGUAACAAGGUAGCCGUAGGGGAAC